GAUGAAGAACGCAGCGAAAUGCGAUAAGUAGUGUGAAUUGCAGAAUUCCGUGAAUCAUCGAAUCUUUGAACGCACAUUGCGCCCCUUGGUAUCCCGAGGGGCAUGCCUGUUCGAGCGUCAUUUCACCACUCAAGCCUGGCUUGGUGUUGGGCGACGUCCUCUUUGGGGACGCGCCUCGAAACGCUCGGCGGCGUGGCACCGGCUUUAAGCGUAGCAGAAUCUUUCGCUUUGGAAGUCGGGGCCCCGUCUGCCGGAAGACCUGCUCGCAAGGUUGACCUCGGAUCAGGCAGGGAUACCCGCUGAACUUAAGCAUAUCAAUAAGCGGAGGA
rnacentral:misc_RNA from 1 species